UACGUAGGGACCAAGCGUUGUUCGGAUUUACUGGGCGUAAAGUGCGCGUAGGCGGCAUAUUAAGUCAGCUGUGAAAUCUCCGAGCUUAACUCGGAACUGUCAGCUGAUACUGAUGUGCUAGAGUGCAGAAGGGGCAAUCGGAAUUCUUGGUGUAGCGGUGAAAUGCGUAGAUAUCAAGAGGAACACCUGAGGUGAAGACGGGUUGCUGGGCUGACACUGACGCUGAUAGCGCGAAAGCCAGGGGAGCAAACGGG
rnacentral:rRNA from 1 species